rnacentral:rRNA from 1 species
GACCAUCCUCCAAGGCUAAAUACUCCUGACUGACCGAUAGUGAACCAGUACCGUGAGGGAAAGGCGAAAAGAACCCCGGCGAGGGGAGUGAAAAAGAACCUGAAACCGUGUACGUACAAGCAGUGGGAGCACCUUCGGGUGUGACUGCGUACCUUUUGUAUAAUGGGUCAGCGACUUAUAUUCUGUAGCAAGGUUAACCGUAUAGGGGAGCCGCAGGGAAACCGAGUCUUAACUG